UUUUAAUGCGUAGGUGUGUGUUUGGAUUACCACAAGGACGAGCACAUCUGUCCACUGACAUUUUGAAGGUUACCUAAUGUUGGUCUACCGUUUCACCACCAGCCAACGGAGCAAAGGUGAAGAGUGGCAGCGACUGCUCUCAAAACUCACAUCGCCAUAACAACACCAUGUUCAACUCAGCAUGACAUGCGGAAGAGGGGAAGAGAGAGAGAGAGAGAGAGAGAGAGAGAGACAGAGAACAGAUAGAUAAAGGUAGAAGAGAGAGAGAGACCAGAACUAGGACCAAGCUUGACCCAACCAAACCAAAGGAUUCGUCUAUACGGAUGGUAGUUUUCCAUUUCUAAGGCUUUAUCUGAGUGCAAACAUUUGAAAAAAUGGAUUAAACAUGGAGUUCAGUAGCAGUUUAACCUGAUUUCUGUAUCUGUGACCUGGUCUUCUGCACUGCUGCUUCCAUUUUUCUGGCUGCAGGGUGCAGGACACCCAAUCACACGGGCUGCUGCUGGAAAACAAGACGAGACCAAGAGAGAAGAAAGAGAGAGAGAGAGAGAGAGAGACAGAGUCAUAAAGAAGGAGAGGAAGAAAGAAAGGCAGGGUAUUCUUCAGUGUAAGCUGAGAUGAAAGGUGGUUGGCUGGGGGCAGGCUGGGCCGUGGCUGGCGCAGGCGGGCGGUACGGACGCUUCAGCUAAAUGGAGAAAGAGCUGAGCAGUGUGUCUGACCACUGAAACCAGCAGAGAACUGGGAGACGAGCUCUUUCUCCAGUUCACCACCGCACUUCCUGCGCUCUACGCUCGGCAGAGAGACACUGGGAAUAACCGAUGUGACCGAAGCCCAUCGCCGCCGCUAGCGUGAGUCUCUUAUAUAUAUAUCGAGUACGAGUGCUGUAUAAUAUGUGUGUCGUAUAUGCAGAGGAGUCAAAGGUAAUGAAGUACAAAUAUUUAAUUUCGUUACUUAAGUAGAAAUGUACAGGGAUUAGACAAUGACAUUGAAACACCUGGUUUUAGA
rnacentral:lncRNA from 1 species